rnacentral:rRNA from 1 species
AUACGGAGGAUGCAAGCGUUAUCCGGAUUUAUUGGGUUUAAAGGGUGCGUAGGCGGAUGAUUAAGCGUGAGGUGAAAGCUCGGGGCUCAACCCCGGAACUGCCUCGCGAACUGGUUGUCUUGAAUGUCCGUGCCGUGGGAGGAAUGUGUGGUGUAGCGGUGAAAUGCAUAGAGAUCACACAGAACACCGAUUGCGAAGGCAUCUCACGAACGGAUGAUUGACGCUGAGGCACGAAAGCGUGGGGAUCAAACAGGAUUAGAUACCCUGGUAGUCCACGCAGUAAACGAUGAUAACUAACCGUCGGCGAUACACAGUCGGUGGCCAAGCGAAAGCGAUAAGUUAUCCACCUGGGGAGUACGUUCGCAAGAAUGAAACUUAAAGGAAUUGACGGG